GACGAACGCUGGCGGCGUGCUUAACACAUGCAAGUCGAACGAUGAAACCUAGCUUGCUAGGUCGAUUAGUGGCGAACGGGUGAGUAACACGUGACUAACCUGCCCCUUUCUCUGGGAUAACGCUCCGAAAGGAGUGCUAAUACCGGAUACUCACACCGAGGCACAUGCCUUGGUGUGGAAAGUUUUUCGGAAAGGGAUGGAGUCGCGGCCUAUCAGCUUGUUGGUGAAGUAACGGCUCACCAAGGCGACGACGGGUAGCCGGCCUGGGAGGGCGACCGGCCACACUGGGACUGAGACACGGCCCAGACUCCUACGGGAGGCAGCAGUGGGGAAUAUUGCACAAUGGGCGCAAGCCUGAUGCAGCGACGCCGCGUGAGGGAUGAAGGUCUUCGGAUUGUAAACCUCUUUCAGUAGGGACGAAGCGAAAGUGACGGUACCUAAAGAAGAAGCACCGGCUAACUACGUGCCAGCAGCCGCCGUAA
rnacentral:rRNA from 1 species